rnacentral:tRNA from 1 species
GCACCGAGGAUUCAUUGGUAGAAUUCUCACCUUCUAUGCGAGAGGCCCAGGUUUGAUUCCUGGCCAAUGUG